rnacentral:rRNA from 1 species
UCUUACAAUUGCGAUGGGGGGACGGAGAAGGCUAGGUGGGCCUGGCGACGGUUGUCCAGGUUCAAGUGCGUAGGCUUGAGAGUUAGGUAAAUCCGGCUCUUUUUAAGGCUGAGACACGACGUCGAGCCACUACGGUGGUGAAGUCAUUGAUGCCAUGCUUCCAGGAAAAGCCUCUAAGCUUCAGAUUGUAAGGAAUCGUACCCCAAACCGACACAGGUGGUCGGGUAGAGAAUACCAAGGCGCUUGAGAGAACUCGGGUGAAGG